AGGCGUUCCGAGGGGUGCUCCGAAGGAGGAGCUGAGAUACCGCAAGCUUGGACUUCGCCACUUUGUCAUCGACGAAGUUGCGAACAGUCCGGGACCGCGGUGACCCUUUGAACCUGAUCCGGGUCAUGCCGGCGAAGGGACAGGGAUGUAUCAGACGU
rnacentral:ncRNA from 1 species